rnacentral:lncRNA from 1 species
CUGUCCUUCCUGUGCCGGUACGUGCCCGUGGGGCUGCUGGAGCGGCUCCCACAGAGGAUCAACGAGCGGCCGCCCUACUACCUGGGCCGCGACUACCUGGAGACGCUGAUGGCCAGCCAGAAGGCAGCCGACUGGAUCCGCAUCAGGCUCCUUGAACCUGUAUCAUCCCCCAGACCCAGAGAAAGAGGUGUUUCCAGCCCCACCAGCAGGUACCGGCCUCCCCUGAGCCCUUGACGAGGCUGGGAGUGGGUUUGAGUGUGCAGGCCCAUCUUGCCCCUGCCCCGUCCCUAAGUGGGAGCCUGAAGGCAUGGCCUCUGCUCCCCAUGCUUCACACAGGUCCCCCAGAUGAGCCCCAAAGACAAGCUCUGUGUCAUCCAUCACCCAGCCAGGGCCCCAAAGCAAUAUCUAUGUCGUCCCCCAAAGGGGCCCCCCAAUGGCAAGGUUCUUGUGGCAUCUCCCAAACAGGCCCCCAGGCUUGGGCUGGGCCCCUCAGGCAGCAGCUGCUCUCAGGGCACCCGCCUGCCGCCCACAGGUUUCCAGAUGGCCCCAUGCGGGUGCUUCUUCGACCCCCGCAUCUAUCG